AGAGGGUGCAAGCGUUAAUCGGAAUGACUGGGCGUAAAGGGCACGUAGGCGGUAACAUAAGUUAGUUGUGAAAGACCAGAGCUUAACUUUGGUAAGUCAACUAAAACUGUGUUACUAGAGUACAGUAGAGGUAAGAGGAAUUUCCGGUGUAGCGGUGAAAUGCGUAGAUAUCGGAAGGAACACCAAUGGCGAAGGCAACUUACUGGACUGUAACUGACGUUGGGGUGCGAAAGCGUGGGUAGCGAACAGGAUUAGAUACCCUGGGUAGUCCACGCCGUAAACGAUGAAAACUAGCUGUUUAGACCCGAGAGUCCCGAAGUAGCGAAGCAAACGCAAUAAGUUUUCCGCCUGGGGAGUACGACCGCAAGGUUA
rnacentral:rRNA from 1 species